rnacentral:rRNA from 1 species
AAAUUGAAGAGUUUGAUCAUGGCUCAGAUUGAACGCUGGCGGCAGGCCUAACACAUGCAAGUCGAACGGUAACAGGAAGAAGCUUGCUUCUUUGCUGACGAGUGGCGGACGGGUGAGUAAUGUCUGGGAAACUGCCUGAUGGAGGGGGAUAACUGCUGGAAACGGUAGCUAAUACCGCAUAACGUCGCAAGACCAAAGAGGGGGACCUUCGGGCCUCUUGCCAUCGGAUGUGCCCAGAUGGGAUUAGCUAGUAGGUGGGGUAACGGCUCACCUAGGCGACGA